rnacentral:rRNA from 1 species
UGAAUGGUUUGACGAGAGCUAUGCUGUCUCUUUUGGAAUAUUUAAAAAUUAACUUUUAGGUGAAGAGGCCUGAAUUUAUUUAAGGGACAAGAAGACCCUGUUGAGCUUUAGUGACUUUAUAAAUUUAUAUAUAAUUUGUUAUUGAUUAUAUUUUUGUAUAUUAAUGUAUAACUUAGGUUUAUGAAUAAUCUUUAGUUGGGGCGACUGAGGAACAUACAAAGCUUCCUUGAGUUCGAAGGCGUGUUGGCCUGGCUGAUUUAUUGAUGCGUUUGUGUUAAUUUUGAUCCAAUUUAUUUUGAUUAAGAAAAAAAGUUACCACAGGGAUAACAGCGUAAUCUUUCUGGAGAGAUCUAAUCGAAAGGAGGGUUUGCGACCUCGAUGUUGGACUAAGAUAUCCUGAGGGUGUAGAAGUUCUCAAAGGUUGGUCUGUUCGACCAUUAAAAUCUU